GCCUCGGUGGCCUAAUGGCUUAAGACGCUCGUGCGGAAAACACAAGAGAUCCGGGUUCAAGUCCUGGCCGAGGUA
rnacentral:tRNA from 1 species